GGAGCUGUAGCUCAGUGGCAGAGUGCUUGCCUAGCAUGUAUGAGGCACUGGGUUCGAUCCUCGGCACCA
rnacentral:tRNA from 1 species